rnacentral:rRNA from 1 species
AGAGUUUGAUCCUGGCUCAGGAUGAACGCUGGCGGCGUGCCUAAUACAUGCAAGUCGAACGCUUCACUUCCGUGAAGAGUGGCGAACGGGUGAGUAAUACAUACGUAACCUGGCAUCUACAGGGGGAUAACUGAUGGAAACGUCAGCUAAGACCGCAUAGGUGCAGAGAUCGCAUGAACUCUAUAUGAAAAGUGCUACGGGACUGGUAGAUGAUGGACUUCUGGCGCAUUAACUUGUUGGUAGGGUAACGGCCCACCAAGGCGACCAUGCGUACCCCACCUGAGAGGGUGACCGGCCACGCUGGGACUGAGACACGGCCCACACUCCUACCGGAGGCAGCAGAAGGGAAUUUUCGGCAAUGGGGGAAACCCUGACCGAGCAACGCCGCGUGAAGGAAGAAGUAAUUCGUGAUGUAAAAUUAUGUCAUAGAGGAAGAACGGUGGAUAUAGGGAAUGAUAUACAAGUGACGGUACUAUAUAAGAAAGCCACGGCUAACUACGUGCCAGCAGCCGUCAGUAAUACGUAGGAGGCGAUUCUUUAUCCUUAAUUAUUGGGAGGAAAGAGGGAGCAGGUGGCAAUAUGGGUCUGUGGUGAAAGAUCGAAGCUUAACUUCGGUAAGCCAUGGAAACCGUAGAGGUAGAGAGCAUCAGAGGAUCGAGUAAUUCCAUGUGUAGCGGUGAAAUGCGUAGAUAGAUGGAGGAACACCAGUGGAGAAGGCGGCGGUCUGGGGUGCAGCUGACGCUCAGUCCCGAAAGCGUGGGGAGCAAAUAGGAUUAGAUACCCUAGUACUCCACGCCGUAAACGAUGAGUGUUAAGUGUUGGGGGUCAGACCUCAGUGCUGGGAGUUACCGCAAUAAGCACUCCGCCUGAGUAGUACGUUCGCAAGAAUGAAACUCAAAGGAAUUGACGGGGGCCCGCACAAGCGGUGGAGCAUGUGGUUUAAUUCGAAGCAACGCGAAGAACCUUACCAGGUCUUGACAUGGAGAUAAAGGCCCUGGAGACAGGGAGAUAGAUAUAUCUCACACAGGUGGUGCAUGGUUGUCGUCAGCUCUUGUCGUGAGAUGUUGGGUUAAGUCCCGCAACGAGCGCAACCCCUGUUGCCAGUUGCCAGCAUUAGGUUGGGGACUCUGGCGAGACUGCCUCUGCAAGGAGGAGGAAGGCGGGGAUGACGUCAAAUCAUCAUGCCCCUUAUGACCUGGGCUACACACGUGUUACAAUGGACGGAUCAGAGGGAGGCGAAGCCGUGAGGUGGAGCGAAACCCAGAAACCCGUUCACAGUUCGGAGUGCAGUCUGCAACUCGACUGCACGAAGCUGGAAUCGCUAGUAACCGCGAAUCAGCAUGUCGCGGUGAAUACGUUCUCGGGCCUUGCACACACCGCCCGUCA